rnacentral:rRNA from 1 species
UACGAAGGGGGCUAGCGUUGCUCGGAAUCACUGGGCGUAAAGCGCACGUAGGCGGAUUGUUAAGUCAGGGGUGAAAUCCUGGAGCUCAACUCCAGAACUGCCUUUGAUACUGGCGAUCUCGAGUCCGGGAGAGGUGAGUGGAACUGCGAGUGUAGAGGUGAAAUUCGUAGAUAUUCGCAAGAACACCAGUGGCGAAGGCGGCUCACUGGCCCGGUACUGACGCUGAGGUGCGAAAGCGUGGGGAGCAACAGGGAUUAAGAUACCCCGGU